CAUUUUUUUCCACCCUAAAGACGCCUUAACCUCACCCCCCUCUCCUUUUUUUUUUUGUGAUAAACCCUAAGCGCCGCAGUAGAUUUUUCUUCUUCCAUCGCCAAAAAUGGCAAGGAUAUAGAGGGAUCAGGUUUCACGCAGUCCUGGUACGCCUAAAUCGAGUAGAAUAAUCAAUGCUUUGUACGAAUCCUUGGUGUAUACAUCAAACAAGGUAAUUUCAAUCUCUUUUCCCCUUUUUCUUUCUGUGAUUUCUUAGUCAAAGACGUAAGGGCAUGGAUCUGAACCCAGUGACCUCAAUUUUCAUAGGUCGAAUAUCAUUUGACCUGGAUCGAGGUGAACUGGCCAAGGUCAAACCCUUCAUCAUUGUUUAAUGAAGAUCUAAGCCGUUCGUUUCAAAGUAAAGCACAAAUUUAGGAAAAACUUACAAGUCCCACAUCGAUGGACUAGGAUGUUGAUAUCUUUUAGGGGUUCUAUAUAGAACCCCAUCCUUUGAGUUUUAGACAAGUUUGAAAACCACAUAGCUUAAAUUUUGAGAAAACCACUUGAGAUUAAAGCUUUCAGUAAAAUUUUGUUUAGACUUGACUAUGAAGUUGGGUCUUUAGUUGAACAAUUUAUUUAUUUCUGCCUUUUCUUGUGCGGCUGAGUUCGAGAAUUGGAAGCACAGAGGCUCCAAGUCCAUUCUUGCUCCGGUUGCACAUCAAAAAGCCAACCUGUUAGGCCAAGCGCAACUGGAAAUUCCUUCACAUUUAUCGAGUCCGACGAACAAAAGGAAGAUAAUAUUAAAGAAACGUGUAGAAGGCCCAACCAUGGGUGAAAAUGGCCAACUAGGGGCUUGGUGCGCCCCUAGCCUCCCCCCCCCCCCCCCCCCCCUUUUUUUUUUUUUACUUUAUUUAGUUAUUUACGACUUUUUUUUCUUUAUUUGUGAAGUUUGUCGUAUUGUGUAAAAUUUGUAAAAGUCAUAUAUUAUUGGAAUCUUUUAUGAUUAUGAA